AUACGGCGGAUCCGAGCGUUAUCCGGAUUUAUUGGGUUUAAAGGGUGCGCAGGCGGCCAUUUAAGUCAGCGGUUAAAUCGUGGGGCUCAACCCCAUUCUGCCGUUGAUACUGGGUGGCUUGAUUGCGGUCGAGGUUGGCGGAAUUCGUUGUGUAGCGGUGAAAUGCAUAGAUAUGACGAAGAACACCGAUUGCGUAGGCAGCUGACCAGAUCGCAAAUGACGCUCAUGCACGAAAGUGCGGGGAUCGAACAGGAUUAGAUACCCUGGUAGUCCGCACAGUAAACGAUGAAUACUUGUUUUCGGCGAUAUAAUGUCGGAGGCAAAGCGAAAGCGAUAAGUAUUCCACCUGGGGAGUACGCCGGCAACGGUGAAACUUAAAGGAAUUGACGGGG
rnacentral:rRNA from 1 species